rnacentral:lncRNA from 1 species
GUAUUAGCCACUUUUGCUGCUUUUCAAUGACGUAAUACAUCAUAUAACACCUUAAAAUUAAUAUAAAAUUCACUACAAACAAUAAAAGCACAUAAAAAACAUUCACUUAUGAGUUUUAUUGAACUAUGAAAUUAUUAAUUGCUCCUCAACAACAUUCACGCCUCACAACUACUCUGAAGUGGAGUAUAGAGGCGAGUAACCCCAGUGAACACGAGUUCAAGCCACCAUUAAUUAAAGGGAGUCAAACUAUACCAAAAGUAAACUAAUGAAAAGAAAAUAAAAUGCAGGCAACUCCAGUUUGAACAGUACUCCUACUACAACACUACAAGAUUUAAAUCAUUUGACUAUAAUACUUAAAUAAAUUCUCAUGAGAAUUAACAGGGGCAAGCUGUUAUUUCUUCAACAAUUCAGUCACACGUCUGCUAAUUCAGCUCUUCAUACAUCAUUAAAGGUAGAAGAAUAUCUGGAAAAUUGAAACAAAGAAAGAGGAAGGAGAAGUCGUCAACAACAAUCUACAAUCAACCUCAGCUUUGAAUUUUUUUAACCCAGAAAUGACACCAAGCUACCAAGAACUUAGUUUCAGAAGACCAAACACCAGUACACAAACCAAAACCAGCUUGAAUAAACCCAGUUAAACUCAAAAAUGACUCUAGGAAUUUCCAGAACCUCAACUAUCUAAAAUUCAAUGGAAUAGUGAUUUUGGUAGUUUUGGUUGCCUGAUUUUCAGUGUCUUUUCCGUGUUUGGAUUUUAGAUCUCACUAGGAUUCUCAAACUUUUUUUUGUUGAAUUUUUGAAUUUAAGAUCUCUCUAAGCUCUAGAUUUUGAAUUUUGAAUAUUUUUCAGAUUUUGGGAUCUCUCUGGAACCUCUACACGUUUGAAUUUCAGUUUGCCUUCUUAACUUCAAAAAAAACUCCCUUGCAAGGCAAGGUAGGCUGCCUUUUUAUAGAAAAAGCUAGGACAACUUCAGAAUUUUCUUUUACAG